UAUCAUUUCAUUAAAUAUUAAAUCAUUAAUACAUGUUGGAAUCUCAUCAAAGAUAUAGAAGCUAGGAAUGGAUGUGGUUGUCUUAGCUAAUUCAUGGGCAACCGCAUUUGUUUUGAGUUUGUUAAAUAGGAAUUACAGAAUUGGAUACUAUUAUCCAUGAUGGAACCAAACUCGGUGAUAUCUCCCCUACCUCUAUUAAAAUAAUCAACUACUUUUUUCAAUUCAACCUCAAAAUCAACAUUUGUGAGCUGAAGUUCAUGUAUCCACUGAAUUGCAUGGCAUAGCCCCAAAGCCUACAACGUCAACUGAGCAUAAUGGCGUAAAACACAUUGUUUUUGAGCGAACAUGGCUCCCUACUGAAUCUCGAAUGUACAUGCCUAUUCCUACCUUAUUGCUAAAUAGAAAAAGAGGCAUUAACAUUACAUUUAAGUCUAUCGCUUCUUGGUAUCCUCAAUCUAAUGUUGCUAUCCCUGUUGUCAAAAUUAUGGUCAUCAUGUUGGUGAAGACCUGUAGUUGAAGCUGUGUGUACUUGACUAGAAGGGCUUUGAUUGCGAUUAGCACUCCUCCUAGGAGAUGUUAGUCUCUAUUCGGGUUCCCGAAAGCUGCUGCAACACACUAAAAAAUGAUGUCUGGUGCAUUAUCAAUGUGAUUCAGAGAUGGAGAAAUCAAAUGCCAAACAUUAGCUGCUCUCCAUAUAUCAAUGGAAAAAUAUGUGGUAACUAUCCUUAUCGGGGUCGUUACACGUAACACAACCUGAUAGACAAUUGAAACCUAUGUUUAUGAGCUUUACACGCGUAGGGAAUAAGUAUCUACAGACUCACCACAUCAAGUUCCUGACUUUUGGAGGUACUUUCAAUUUCCACAUACCAUUAUAGCACUCGGGUUUCCACAGAUAAUUAUUAUUAAUAAUGUCUUCAAUGCAAAUACGGUAAGAAAUUCUAACAUAGUAAAGUCCAUUCUUAUCAGCUGUCCAAACUAAUCCAUCCAUAUCAACUUGUUGGUGCAAGGGAGUAUUCAAAAUAUUUUGAGUUGUUUCUGUUGCAAACAAAUGCAAAAUUAGUUGUUCAUUCCAAAAUUUAGUGCUUUUAUCAAUCAAAUGUCCCAGUAAAUAAGGUUGAAGGGCUAGCAUCUCAGGGCCUACUGGAGGAAUGCUUGAUCCUGUCCCCAUCCAAGGCUCGCCAACAAUAGGGACAGUAAACCCAUAACCAAUUUUCCAAUGGGUAACUUGUCUAAUAACCAUCUUAGCACUGAAAAUGUUAUGCCAAACAAAGCUUGGAUUAUGUCCCAAUUUCGAAUCCAUAUAGCUACUAUUAGGGUAAUACCGGGCUUUGAAAAUUCUUGAAACUAAACUUUUUGUAUCAGUUUGUAGUUUAUAACCAUGUUUUGCAAGCAUUGCAACAUUAAAGGCUGCCAAAUCUUUGAAACCCAUACCUCAAAAAAAUUUGUGCUCUAAUAACUUCUCCCAUGACAACCAAUGCAUCCCUUUGUUACUUGUACCCAUGUCCCCAUCAGAAGGCGUUCAUCAUUUUUACAAUUUCACCUAGAAGCGUGUUUGGUAAUAUGAAUAUACUCAUAACAUACGAAGGAAUAACUUGAAGAACAUAUAUUUGGAAAAUCUGAACAUAUUUGGUAAUCUGAACAUAUAUUUGAUCAUGACUUCCCUACCUUCUUUGGAAAACUAUUUGCUGCUCCAACUGCUGAUUUUGUGCCACACUCUAUCUUUAAUGAACUUGAACGUUGCUUGUUUGAUGCGCCCUAUCAUUGAUGGCAAUCCAAGAUACUUACGCGUUCGUAGAACUGCACGCACCCCUAAGAUAUUGGUGAUGGAUAUAUUGUUGCAACGGUUCUUGGACAUUCCUACUAUAAAUGAUUACAGAUUUAGGAAGGCUGAUAGCUAUCCGUGGAAAUUAUUUACACUUGUGAUGACAAUUAUCCGAAAUUAUGUUUUUAGAAAUCAAAUAGAUAAA
rnacentral:lncRNA from 1 species